rnacentral:lncRNA from 1 species
GAAGGACUGACCCCAAGGUGCCAAGUCCUGGAAAUAUAAGGAACUUCCUGUCUAAUAUCAGACUGACCUGCUCUUCUUUUGCCAACACCCAUAGCACUAGCCUUAAUUCACUGAAUCACCCAAAGAUAUUCCCUGCUGUGCUGGAUGAAAAGAGGAGCUGAUCCAGCUAAGCAGGAAUAACGCACCAUUAAGCUGCAAACGGUUGAAUAAAACUGGAUUACUGGUAUCUUUCACAUUAUAAAAGCACAAGAAUGAAAAGCACCAGUACUCCCACUACCAAGUUAUCAAUCAGUAUCUAUUUCCUUUGAGCCUUGUUCAACGCAAAAAUAGGUGUUGAUCUUUUCAUAAACAAUAUCAUAGCCUAUAUAUUCUUUAGAGUUUGCCUUUACACUUUUUAUACAGCAAACUGCUCCACGUGUCAUUAUGAGUUCUUCUACAAUAUGAUUUUUAAUCACCUUUACCUCCAGGCCAUCAUAUGUCUACACCCUAAUAUCCACAUUCUCUUUCUUCUUUGGCUUCCUUCUUUCUUUCCCACUAUAAAUAACACUGGGAUGAACAUCCCUGAAGAUCGAUAAAUAUUUGCACACACCCUGAUUUUUUUUGUCAGGAUAAAUUCCUAGAACUGAAAUUCAGGAGGAUUUAACCACAGUUGCUAAGACCGCCUUUCUAAGACCCAUUUUGAUGUCAGCGAUGUUUCACUGUCUCAUCUGGUUGGGCAACUCUCAGUCAGGUUUCCCAAACAAUAACCCAUUGUCUGACUCAAUAAGAGAACUUGAACAUCUCUUCUUCUGAAAUAUUCAUAGGUUUUUGUUUUCAUCCUUCUACCAUCGCAAGCACUUAAAAACACAGCCCAGAGAAGUGGCAUUUUUCUUUCAGAAAUUGAAUUGUUUCAUGCACAUCUGAACUCCAAGAAAUGACUUGUUUUCGGACCCCCAGAUGGCCAUGGAGGUAGCCAGGUGGCCAAGAAUUUCAGUUAGAGAAAACUCCAUUUGCUUCCCAUCCAAGAUGAUCGCACAUUUUCCAGGGCCUUUGCAUAUGAUGUCCCUUGGACCCCUCUCCCCAGGUCCCGCCAGCACCUCCUUCGGAUCUGGAUGGAGCCCUAGUCACAGCUCUGACCACAAGGCUGAUAAUGGAGUCUUCCUUAUGCUGAUGAAUGAAGUGACCCUUAAUAAGAUGCAACCAGGCCAGAAAAAGCCAAAUGAGAAAGUUGGCAGCAUUAACUUCCAGGGACACCUGCAGCUGUGCAGAGAAGACUUUUCCAGAUCUACCUCUAGCUGGUGGUCGUGCAGAGGAAGGACUUUGUGCAGAUCCACGUGUUUCCAGAGUGAAGUCCCAGGGGUUAGGCUAGGCUGUGUGUGUAGCAGCUAUAGACCCAGACAUGACCAGGCAUCCUGCAGCCCCAAAAGGUGGCCUCCUGGGGGCUACAUGUAGGAGCAACCACACACCUUAUAAGAGGUGAGCUUCAGAUGGGAAAUUCUGUCCUCCAGAAUUCCUCUAAGGGAAACCACAGAGUUUGCUAGAAGGAAUGACUUGAUGAGCCCUCUUGGGGUAGGAGGAGAGGUCCUAGGGAGGGUGUGUUGGCUGGCUCCAAGACUUUGGGGUGAGGGUAGCAGUGUGAUAGAGGAGGGGAAUUUGGAUCCUCUAGAGGUCAAUCCAAGGAGAAGGUGAGGAGAAGAGGCAGGAGGAGGGAAGAGAGAAUACAGUAAGGCUGUGUGUUCCACAGUCAUUCCCCCUCACCCCAUCACCACUGUAUUUGACUCAGAACUUAAUCUAAAUGGAUGAAGGGACUAAGGUUGAGGUCUGCACGGCAGUGGGAGUAGGGAGGGCAGUGCGCUACAUGGGCAAAGUAGGAAUAGCACAUGGGCAUUCAGGAGCUGGACCCCUGAACAGAAGGUCUUGGAAUUAGCAGACAUUGUAGCCAGAACUUUAGACUCUCGGAGGCCAUACAGAUGGCUGGGACCCAAUCUCUGUAUCUCCAAGGAUAUCUGGGUUAUAUAUGGAAAGAGAGAAGCAAGCUUGGCUAAGAAUAAUGGGGAAAGCUGUGCCACUCAUAUUUCUAUUUCCACCCUCUCCCAGCAUCAAGCCAGCAAAUAAUAAGCUCAAUAAGGCAAUGAUCCUGAUGGAGCCCGUCAGCCACCUCUGGGAGUGUGAGGAAACUGAGAUCCAGACAGGGCAGUGAUGUGCCACAUUCCGCACCAUUUCUGGAAUGGUGUGCCAUUCUGUGCCAAUGCUGAACUCUGGAGGAGGAGAGAGACAACAGAGGACACCUGACAGCGUAUGGGAAUAAGAGUGGAGACCUUACUCCGGACUCUGGUCUGGCUUGGAAGCAUUCGAGAGGGGCUAGAAGUCCCUAAUUUUGUAGGUGGGAGAGGAACAGAGAAAUACUGUUUUGUUACUAUUGUCAUUUCUGUUUUGUAGACUCAGUUGAAUACCACUAGGACGGGUCACACGAUUUUGAAUGUGUUAACACCUCGGCCAUGGAGCAGCCAUCUGGUAGGAAAGCAUUUACCCAGGCAAAGUGCUCUGGUGAUUUAGAUGAGUCAGUGACUGGGUGACAACGGCCAGAAGUCAGAAAAUGGGGAGAAGAGGCACCAUGUGGCAGAGAUUAUGCUAGAUCAGCAUUCAAACACCUGAGUGCAAGUUCCUGCCCUAUUGGUGGGCAGAUUACUUAUUACUUAUUGUCUGUGAUACUCGAGAGACAUCAGUGAAACAGGAUAAUGUCCCCAAUGCCACAGCAACAGACCCCCUCAUCAAGGCACAACCCCAUAGUUUGUAAGCUGCUGCUGCAAUCCUUUCUGCCCCUGACUUUAUAAAUGAUCCCCUCUAAAGAAAAAAUGUAAAUUCAUGGUGAGUUUUGUAAGCCUCAAUUGUUUCACCUGUGAAAUAGAAUCAGUAACCCCUACCUCCUACGUCUACUACAUGUUUAUGAGAUAAUGGCUGUAAAUGUAUUUCACAAACUGUAAAGUGUUGCACGUGUAUAAAUGACCACCAUUAGGUUAAACCACCUGAUAUUCAGUCAUUUUAGAACUACUACAAAACAGAAAUUUCACAUGGUUCGACCUAAAACUAUCAUUUUUUUGUGAUUAUCAACAUUAGGCUGACAAAUCGCAUUUGUGGAGAUUUCAGAAAAAGGUAGGUUUAAAAAUGGACUUUUGGGGAUCCCUGGGUGGCUCAGUGGUUUAGCGCCUGCCUUUGGCCCAGGGCGUGAUCCUGGAGCCCCGGGAUCGAGUCCCAUGUCGGGCUCCCUGCAUGGAGCCUGCUUCUCCCUCUGCCUGUGUCUCUGCCUCUCUCUCUCUCUCUCUCUCUCUCUCUCUCUCUGUGUGUGUGAUCCUCAUGAAUAGAUAAAUAAAAUCUUUAAGAGAAAUAAAUAAAAAUGGACU